rnacentral:rRNA from 1 species
GACGAACGCUGGCGGCGUGCUUAACACAUGCAAGUCGAACGGAAAGGCCCUGCUUUUGUGGGGUGCUCGAGUGGCAAACGGGUGAGUAACACGUGUGUAACCUGCCCUUGACUUUGGGAUAACUUCAGGAAACUGGGGCUACUACCGGAUAGGAGCUCCUGCUCCGUGGAGGGGGUUGGAAAGUUUCGGCGGGUGGGGAUGGACGCGCGGCUUAUCAGCUUGUUGGUGGGGUAGUGGCUUACCAAGGCUUUGACGGGUAGGCGGCCUGAGAGGGUGACCGGCCACAAUGGGACUGAGAUACGGCCCAGACUCCUACGGGAGGCAGCAGGGGGGAAUAUUGCACAAUGGGCGGAAGCCUGAUGCAGCAACGCCGCGGUCGGGAUGACGGCCUGCGGGUUGUAAACCGCUUUCGCCUGUGACGAAGCGUGAGUGACGGUAAUGGGUAAAGAAGCACCGGCUAACUACGUG